rnacentral:lncRNA from 1 species
AUCUCAUUGUGAUGGGGUGCUCGAAAUUGUUGAAGAUGAGGAGCAGUAUGGAGAACAAAUGAAAAUGCAGGACCAUGCUUCAUAUGAACAAGAAGAGCAUGCUAUGGUAGAAACUUCACGGAAUGACACAGGGCAGAGUGACUUCCCAAAGUUGAGAUUGAUCGUAUUGACGGGACUUAAGAAGCUGAGAAGUAUUUGUAAAGCAAGAGAAUUCCCAUGCCUUGAGACCCUUCGGGUGGAGGAUUGCCCAAAUCUGAGAAGCAUCCCGCUAAGCUGCACGCAUAACUAUUGGAAACUGAAGCAGAUAUGUGGUUCAGUUGAAUGGUGGGAGAAACUGCAGUGGGAAAAUAGGAAGGAGGUGGCAUGUCUGGACAGCAAGUACUUCAUUCCAAUCUGACACAACCCCAAUUUCAAUGGCUUUUGCAUGGCACGCAGGUGGCUUAGUUCUGUCUUCAGUCUUCACACAAAUAAGAGGUCUCCUCUUAAAUUGUUUAAAAUUUGUAUAUGUGACAGGCAUAGCUUCUGUACAUUGUUAGUAUUGUAUUCAUGUAUAGAAUAUGAUAUACUCUGUAAUUUUCUGGUAUUGCAUUCGUGUAAUAUGAAUUGUUCAUUUAAAUCAUAGUCCAAUAAGGCUCUGUGACUUUCUGUCCUAUCAAUUGUGCAGUACCUCCACAAAAAAGUUUCAGGGCAUUAUUAACUCAGUUACAUGUAAUUACACCUUCUCAAGAUUUACAGGCCAAACCUUGCUCUGGCAUGAACAUCAGGCAUGGCAUUGGAUGCACCACUUUGUUACAAUAGAGUGAUUGACUGAUGUGAUGAUAUCAGGAGAAAUGUUUCACUGAUGGGAUUGUACCCGAAGUAAAAGAUGCCUUGAACAUUUCUAGUAUGUACAGGUACCUUUCUAGAUUCUCUUUCCCGAUGCUUUAUUUUGUACUUUAGCUAUAAGCCCUUGAGUGCUCACUACAUUUAGAAUAUCACUAAUAGAUUCACUGAGAAGGCUUGUGAAGUGCCUCCGAAAGGGAAAGGCAUUGGGAUUGGCAAAUGAUCUGAGUUCUAGUAGCAGAAGCAAACACUACAACAGGCUGCUAUUUCUUAUCUGGUAGGGGUAUCUCCUGCCUCUUGCUAGAAUAAGGUACUGCAUUAUCCCAAUUUCCGUUCCUGCUCUGUUUUGAAUUCAGAAACAGCAUACUUUAUAAUUUUACUUAGUAUAGUCGAACAAUGUGUUAUUUCAUUAUUUUUCCAAAAGAACAUUUGUCAGAAACAGCCAGCGAUUGUCUUUUAGCAGAAAUAGCUCGGUCAACUCCAUAGAUAUGUUGUAUGUUCUAUAUGGUGUUUGCAAAAUCCUGUCAUCGGGAGAUCUGCAUCUGUUCUCAGUAGUUUUCUCAUUGUUGGUCAUACCUCGCACACAAUGUUCAUCCUUCUGCUGGCAGCAAAGGAGAAGCAAGGAGUACAAGUCUGCCAAGUGCCUCAUUUCAAAAGUUCUAUUCUACGACGUAGAACUAUGUUCCCUCUCAACCUCUCAUGGUAGAAGCAUAGCAGCUAGUAUUUUUCAUGCAUUUCCAAUGUAAACUGCAUGGGGCAAAUCAAUGCACGUUCUGAAAAUUUUGAUAUUCCAAGUAGGAAUGACAACCAACCACCAUAGCCUUGCAGAAGAUCACAUACUCGCUGACAGAUAUAAAUAUGUUUUCCUGUAAAUAUUAUGAAUGGUGAAAAUAUUAUGAAUUGGUAUUUAAUAUCAGCCAGCUAAGCUGUGUCCACAUGAUUUGAGUCGAGGUCUGAAAAUGACAACAAUUUCGGACAUUGUUAAACGGAGGAUUAGGCAAUGAUAGAGCCAGGUCAGACAAUGAUUCGUCAGCAGUUUUAGAUAUUGUUAAACGGAGGAUUAGGCAGAGUGGCAGACCACUUGCAAGACCAAGUUGUGAGAGAAGACUGAAGGGAUGUACGCAGUACCUAGCUAGUAAUGAAGAUGGAAUACAUUAUGACAGCAACUUGAGAAGGGAUACGCGGUACCUACUUCCAGCAUCUCCAGUAGAUCAUCACUAAAUUAUGGUUGGAGUAAAAUAUGUACAUCACUAAAAAGAGAUUUUUUUUUUCAUCACCAAAAAUCUUCAACUCUAACAGAUGAUGUAAAAAAUGUGUUGCAAAAUAAAUCACGGUUUGUGUUCUUGUGAGUGCCCUAUUUUACAUUAUCAGUUGGAACACUUGGACACUUGGUGAUGUAAAAAUAACACUUCACUAUGCAAAAUUUGCUUCAGCCGCGCGGUCCCCUGGUGAUGUAAAAUAUGCUCUAGAGCAUCAAGUGAUGCAAAUGCCCUAUUUACAUCUAGAGCAAAGCUGUAAUAAAAAUAUUUGCAUCUACUCCCUCUGUUCCUAUAUAUAAGUCUUUGUAGAGAUUUCAUUAUGGACCACAUACAGAUGUAUAUAGAUGCAUUUUAACAUGUAGAUUCACUCAUUUUGCUCCGUACACUAGUAGAAAACAGGGCUUAGGUCACAGGGCAGUUUUCACAUUAGCCCCGGUUCAGUCACGAACCGGGACUAAUGUGAGCAUUGGUCCCGGUUCGUGAGCCUAGGGGGCCGGCCGGGGCCUCGUGGGCAUUGGUCCGGGUUCGUAUGGACCCUUUGGUCCCGGUUGGUGGUACAAACCGGGACCAAUGGGCCACGCUCCUGGCCCACCACCCUUUAGUCCCGGUUCAUACCACAAACCGGGACUAAAGUGCUGGUCCUAGUUGCGGCCAGUGUUUAGUCCCACCUCGCCAACCGAAGGGCGCUCACACCAGUUUAUAAGCCCGUCCCUCUAUGCCUUGUUGAGCUUCUAUUAAAGUGAAAAUAGAUGCCCUUAUACAGGAAAUUUGACUUAAAUUCAUAGUAAAUUUCAUAGAAAUUUAGUAUGAAUUUAGGUUGAAUUUUCUCUAUAAGUGCAUCAAUGUUCAUUUUUUAUAUUUAUAAAAUAAAUAAACCUUAAUAAAAUAAAUAAAACUAAAUAAACCUUGAUAAAAUAAAAUAAAAUAAACUAUAGUAACUACAAUAAAUAAACCUUAAUUAAUUAAGUAAAAAUAGCAGCAAGUAAAAUAAAUAAAAAUAGCAGCAGUAAAAUAAAUAAAAAUAAAAUAAUUAAAGUAAAAGACAUAAGUAAUUAGAAAUAAAAUAAAUAAGUUUUUUUGUAAGUAGAAAGAAAACCUUUUCAGAGUUCAUUUGAAAUGCUUUUCAAUUUUAGGGUCUUAUAGCUCAAAAUAAUUAGUAAAUGCACGAAAAAUAACAAAUGAAGUCAGAAAGGAUUGACAAAUGAUGAUGUGGCUUUGAAUGGUGCAUUUUGAACACACAAAAAGUCAGGAGUUCAAAUAAGUUUUAAAAAAUGAAAUCCCUUUGUAACAGACGAGUUUCCGGAUGAAAUCCUGAUACUUUGAAAGAGAUUGUCCGUUUUGUACACGAAGUGCAUCCAGUUUAUGCCGUAACCCUCUCAACUUUCUUGCACAUGCUAUGUGGAGAAAUGAUGAUAUCAUGCCAAACUUUCAACCUUUUCAGAGUUCAUUUGAAAUGCUUUUCAAUUUUAGGGUCUUAUAGCUCAAAAUAAUUAGUAAAUGCAUGAAAAAUAACAAAUGAAGUCAGAAAGGAUUGAAAAAUGAUGAUGUGGCUUUGAAUGGUGCAUUUUGAACACACACAAAGUCAGGAGUUCAAAUAAGUUUUAAAAAAUGAAAUCCCUUUGUAACAGACGAGUUUCCGGAUGAAAUCCUGAUACUUUGAAAGAGAUUGUCCGUUUUGUACACGAAGUGCAUCCAGUUUUUGCCGUAACCCUCUCAACUUUCUUGCACAUGCUAUGUGGAUGAAAUGAUGAUAUUAUGCCAACUUUCAACCUUUUCAGAGUUCAUUUGAAAUGCUUUUCAAUUUUAGGGUCUUAUAGCUCAAAAUAAUUAGUAAAUGCAUGAAAAAUAACAAAUGAAGUCAGAAAGGAUUGAAAAAUGAUGAUGUGGCUUUGAAUGGUGCAUUUCGAACACACACAAAGUCAGGAGUUCAAAUAAGUUUUAAAAAAUGAAAUCCCUUUGUAACAGACGAGUUUCCGGAUGAAAUCCUGAUACUUUGAAAGAGAUUGUCCGUUUUGUACACGAAGUGCAUCCAGUUUUUGCCGUAACCCUCUCAACUUUCUUGCACAUGCUAUGUGGAUGAAAUGAUGAUAUCAUGCCAACUUUCAACCUUUUCAGAGUUCAUUUGAAAUGCUUUUCAAUUUUAGGGUCUUACAGCUCAAAAUAAUUAGUAAAUGCAUGAAAAAUAACAAAUGAAGUCAGAAAGGAUUGAAAAAUGAUGAUGUGGCUUUGAAUGGUGCAUUUUGAACACACAAAAAGUCAGGAGUUCAAAUUAGGUUUAAAAAAUGAAAUCCCUUUGUAACAAACGAGUUUCCGGAUGAAAUCCUGAUACUUUGAAAGAGAUUGUCCGUUUUGUACACGAAGUGCAUCCAGUUUUUGCCGUAACCCUCUCAACUUUCUUGCACAUGCUAUGUGGAUGAAAUGAUGAUAUCAUGCCAACUUUCAACCUUUUCAGAGUUCAUUUGAAAUGAUUUUCAAUUUUAGGGUCUUAUAGCUCAAAAUAAUUAGUAAAUGCAUAAAAAUAACAAAUGAAGUCAGAAAGGAUUGAAAAAUGAUGAUGUGGCUUUGAAUGGUGCAUUUUGAACACACAAAAAGUCAGGAGUUCAAAUAAGUUUUAAGAAAUGAAAUCCCUUUGUAACAGACGAGUUUCCGUAUGAAAUCCUGAUACUUUGAAAAAGAUUGUCCGUUUUGUACACGAAGUGCAUCCAGUUUUUGCCGUAACCCUCUCAACUUUCUUGCACAUGCUAUGUGGAUGAAAUGAUGAUAUCAUGCCAACUUUCAACCUUUUCAGAGUUCAUUUGAAAUGCUUUUCAAUUUUAGGGUCUUACAGCUCAAAAUAAUUAGUAAAUGCAUGAAAAAUAACAAAUGAAGUCAGAAAGGAUUGAAAAAUGAUGAUGUGGCUUUGAAUGGUGCAUUUUGAACACACAAAAAGUCAGGAGUUCAAAUAAGUUUUAAAAAUGAUAUCCCUUUGUAACACACGAGUUUCCGGAUGAUAUCCUGAUACUUUGAAAGAGAUUGUCCGUUUUGUACACGAAGUGCAUCCAGUUUUUGCCGUAACCCUCUCAACUUUCUUGCACAUGCUAUGUGGAUGAAAUGAUGAUAUCAUGCCAACUUUCAACCUUUUCAGAGUUCAUUUGAAAUGCUUUUCAAUUUUAGGGUCUUAUAGCUCAAAAUAAUUAGUAAAUGCAUGAAAAAUAACAAAUGAAGUCAGAAAGGAUUGAAAAAUGAUGAUGUGGCUUUGAAUGGUGCAUUUUGAACACACACAAAGUCAGGAGUUCAAAUAAGUUUAAAAAAUGAAAUCCCUUUGUAACAGACGAGUUUCCGGAUGAAAUCCUGAUACUUUGAAAGAGAUUGUCCGUUUUGUACACGAAGUGCAUCCAGUUUUUGCCGUAACCCUCUCAACUUUCUUGCACAUGCUAUGUGGAUGAAAUGAUGAUAUCAUGCCAACUUUCAACCUUUUCAGAGUUCAUUUGAAAUGCUUUUCAAUUUUAGGUUCUUAUAGUUCAAAAUAAUUAGUAAAUGCAUGAAAAAUAACAAAUGAAGUCAGAAAGGAUUGAAAAAUGAUGAUGUGGCUUUGAAUGGUGCAUUUUGAACACACAAAAAGUCAGGAGUUCAAAUUAGGUUUAAAAAAUGAAAUCCCUUUGUAACACACGAGUUUCCGGAUGAAAUUUAAACUAUUCAAAUUUGGAAACUAAUGGAUUAACUGAAAGUUUAUAAUUAUUCUGAGCUAAAAGCAAAAAGAAUAAUAAAAUAAAGCAAAAAUCAAAAAAAAAUAAAUAAUUCAAAAAACAAAAAAUUACUGGAAAAAAUAAAAAAAAUGCCGCCUAAUGGGCCACACAGCCUGCAUACGACUAGAAACCCAUCUGCACAUGGGCCAGGAUGCAGGCCCGCAGGCCCAAUAGGCCCAACAUGGCAAUGACAAAGGUAGGCAUGUAUAAUGCCUGCAUAUUAGAGAGGAGCUCAGCACCUGAGCUGCA